CUCUCUAGUGACCGAUAGUGAACCAGUACCGUGAGGGAAAGGUGAAAAGCACCCCGGAAGGGGAGUGAAAUAGAACCUGAAACCGUGUGCUUACAAGUAGUCAGAGCCCGUUAAUGGGGGAUGGCGUGCCUUUUGUAGAAUGAACCGGCGAGUUACGAUUUGAUGCAAGGUUAAGCAGUAAAUGUGGAGCCGUAGCGAAAGCGAGUCUGAAUAGGGCGUUUAGUAUUUGGUCGUAGACCCGAAACCAGG
rnacentral:rRNA from 1 species